CUUGAGACCGGCGCACGGGUGCGUAACGCGUAUGCAAUCUGCCUUCCACAGAGGGAUAGCCCAGAGAAAUUUGGAUUAAUACCUCAUAGCAUCAUGACCCGGCAUCGGGAUAUGAUUAAAGUCACAACGGUGGAAGAUGAGCAUGCGUCCCAUUAGCUAGUUGGUAAGGUAACGGCUUACCAAGGCUACGAUGGGUAGGGGUCCUGAGAGGGAGAUCCCCCACACUGGUACUGAGACACGGACCAGACUCCUACGGGAGGCAGCAGUGAGGAAUAUUGGUCAAUGGGCGCAAGCCUGAACCAGCCAUGCCGCGUGCAGGAUGACGGUCCUAUGGAUUGUAAACUGCUUUUGUACGGGAAGAAACCCUCCUACGUGUAGGAGCUUGACGGUACCGUAAGAAUAAGGAUCGGCUAACUCCGUGCCAGCAGCCGCGGUAAUACGGAGGAUCCAAGCGUUAUCCGGAAUCAUUGGGUUUAAAGGGUCUGUAGGCGGUCUUGUAAGUCAGUGGUGAAAGCCCAUCGCUCAACGGUGGAACGGCCAUUGAUACUGCUGGACUUGAAUUAUUGGGAAGCAACUAGAAUAUGUAGUGUAGCGGUGAAAUGCUUAGAGAUUACAUGGAAUACCAAUUGCGAAGGCAGGUUGCUACCAAUGGAUUGACGCUGAUGGACGAAAGCGUGGGUAGCGAACAGGAUUAGAUACCCUGGUAGUCCACGCCGUAAACGAUGGAUACUAGCUGUUGGGCGCAAGUUCAGUGGCUAAGCGAAAGUGAUAAGUAUCCCACCUGGGGAGUACGAACGCAAGUUUGAAACUCAAAGGAAUUGACGGGGGCCCGCACAAGCGGUGGAGCAUGUGGUUUAAUUCGAUGAUACGCGAGGAACCUUACCAAGGCUUAAAUGCAGACUGACCGGUUUGGAAACAGACCUUUCGCAAGACGGUCUACAAGGUGCUGCAUGGUUGUCGUCAGCUCGUGCCGUGAG
rnacentral:rRNA from 1 species